rnacentral:rRNA from 1 species
AGAGUUUGAUCCUGGCUCAGAACGGACGCUGGCGGCAGGCUUAACACAUGCAAGUCGAACGCCCUCUUUUAGAGGGAGUGGCAGACGGGUGAGUAACGCGUGGGAAUCUACCUAUUGGUAAGGAACAACACAGAGAAAUUUGUGCUAAUACCUUAUAAGCCCUGAGGGGGAAAGAUUUAUCGCCAUUAGAUGGGCCCGCGUUUGAUUAGCUAGUUGGUGAGGUAAUGGCUCACCAAGGCGACGAUCAAUAGCUGGUCUGAGAGGAUGAUCAGCCACACUGGGACUGAGACACGGCCCAGACUCCUACGGGAGGCAGCAGUGGGGAAUAUUGGACAAUGGGCGCAAGCCUGAUCCAGCCAUGCCGCGUGUGUGAUGAAGGCCCUAGGGUUGUAAAGCACUUUCAACGGUGAAGAUAAUGACGGUAACCGUAGAAGAAGCUCCGGCUAACUU